AUUGAACGCUGGCGGCAGGCCUAACACAUGCAAGUCGAGCGGUAGAGAGGUGCUUGCAUCUCUUGAGAGCGGCGGACGGGUGAGUAAUGCCUAGGAAUCUGCCUAGCGGUGGGGGAUAACGUUCGGAAACGGACGCUAAUACCGCAUACGUCCUACGGGAGAAAGCGGGGGAUCUUCGGACCUCGCGCCAUUAGAUGAGCCUAGGUCGGAUUAGCUAGUUGGUGAGGUAAUGGCUCACCAAGGCGACGAUCCGUAACUGGUCUGAGAGGAUGAUCAGUCACACUGGAACUGAGACACGGUCCAGACUCCUACGGGAGGCAGCAGU
rnacentral:rRNA from 1 species